AAACAGUGAAGCUACUCCGUUCAUAAGUGUGCGAGUUUAAAGAACGAUACCCCGCCACGUCGAAAACGGACAUCGUCCAGCACUUUGUGGAUGCCCAUUCCGUCAUCUACAGCAUCUUGAAAACCAUUCAGCAGAGCAUUGAAAGAAAGUUCGGUUCCAGACGGCCGACGAUCCUGAGCGACAAGAAGCCCCAAAAGAUGCCGAAGAAGAAGACCUAGGUUGUCUUGGUAGCCAGCACCUAGCGAUCUCCUACAUCUUUCGACCUCUCCACCCCUCGCUCGCUGCUGUCCCUCGUAACACAGCAUUCUCACAACCUGAACGGCGAACUUUCCCUCGACUCUGCUCACGACUGAAAAAGCUGGAUCCCGUCCCGUGCGAAGCAAGGGCGGCAAAGGAUAAACGAAGCAUAGGAAACCUGAGCUUCUUCGUCCCUUUUCCGCAUUGGAACCACAUCUCGCAGGAGUAUUUUUUUCCCUUCGCUACGAACAUAAAAUUUCGCCCCGUUUCACGACGAUCUCAACGAAAGACCGAAUGAGGCACACACAAACACACACACACCAGCCCAGCUUCCUUCGCUUUACCAGCCCAGCCUAUCAAGGACGACGGCGACGACGACGGCGCCGAUGACGACGACUCACACAGCAUCAGCUUAGC